rnacentral:rRNA from 1 species
AACGAACGUUAGCGGCGCGCCUGACACAUGCAAGUCGAGCGAGAAAGGGCUUCGGCCCCGGUAAAGCGGCGCACGGGUGAGUAACACGUGGAUAACCUACCCCUUGGUGGUGGAUAACCUUCCGAAAGGAGGGCUAAUACAGCGUAAGACCACGACUUCGAAAGAGGUUGGGGUAAAAGUGGGCCUCUGUACACAAGCUCACGCCAGGGGAUGGGUCCGCGGCCCAUCAGCUAGUUGGUAGGGUAACGGCCUACCAAGGCGAAGACGGGUAGCUGGUCUGAGAGGAUGAUCAGCCACACUGGAACUGAGACACGGUCCAGACUCCUACGGGAGGCAGCAGUGGGGAAUCUUGCGCAAUGGACGAAAGCCUGACGCAGCCAUGCCGCGUGAAUGAUGAAGGUCUUAGGAUUGUAAAAUUCUUUCACCGGGGACGAUAAUGACGGUACCUUUUAGUCAAGCACCGGCUAACUCUGUGCCAGCAGCCGCGGUAAU